AGAGUUUGAUCCUGGCUCAGGACGAACGCUGGCGGCGUGCUUAACACAUGCAAGUCGAACGGAAAGGCCCUUCGGGGUACUCGAGUGGCGAACGGGUGAGUAACACGUGGGUGAUCUGCCCUGCACUUUGGGAUAAGCCUGGGAAACUGGGUCUAAUACCGAAUAGGACCGCGCUCUUCAUGGGGUGUGGUGGAAAGCUUUUGCGGUGUGGGAUGGGCCCGCGGCCUAUCAGCUUGUUGGUGGGGUAAUGGCCUACCAAGGCGACGACGGGUAGCCGGCCUGAGAGGGUGACCGGCCACACUGGGACUGAGAUACGGCCCAGACUCCUACGGGAGGCAGCAGUGGGGAAUAUUGCACAAUGGGCGCAAGCCUGAUGCAGCGACGCCGCGUGAGGGAUGACGGCCUUCGGGUUGUAAACCUCUUUCAAUAGGGACGAAGCGCAAGUGACGGUACCUAUAGAAGAAGGACCGGCCAACUACGUGCCAGCAGCCGCGGUAAUACGUAGGGUCCGAGCGUUGUCCGGAAUUACUGGGCGUAAAGAGCUCGUAGGUGGUUUGUCGCGUUGUCCGUGAAAACUCACAGCUUAACUGUGGGCGUGCGGGCGAUACGGGCAGACUAGAGUACUGCAGGGGAGACUGGAAUUCCUGGUGUAGCGGUGGAAUGCGCAGAUAUCAGGAGGAACACCGGUGGCGAAGGCGGGUCUCUGGGCAGUAACUGACGCUGAGGAGCGAAAGCGUGGGGAGCGAACAGGAUUAGAUACCCUGGUAGUCCAA
rnacentral:rRNA from 1 species